CAGUAGCCGCGGUAAUACGUAGGUGGCAAGCGUUGUCCGGAAUUAUUGGGCGUAAAGGGCUCGCAGGCGGUUUCUUAAGCCUGAUGUGAAAGCCCCCGGCUCAACCGGGGAGGGUCAUUGGAAACUGGGAAACUUGAGUGCAGAAGAGGAGAGUGGAAUUCCACGUGUAGCGGUGAAAUGCGUAGAGAUGUGGAGGAACACCAGUGGCGAAGGCGACUCUCUGGUCUGUAACUGACGCUGAGGAGCGAAAGCGUGGGGAGCGAACAGGAUUAGAUACCCCAGUAGUCCCUGUCUCUUAUAA
rnacentral:rRNA from 1 species